AUACCAUUCUCGGCCUUUUAGCUAAGAUCAAGUGUAGUAUCUGUUCUUAUAUAUGUGUGCCAUGUGCCCACUUCGGUAUUAAAUUUAUUUUUUGUGUGGGAGGGCCCACCACAGUAGCUUGCCACUGGGGCCCUCACGUGUCGCCCAGGCGUUGCACUGCUGCCCGGGCCUGUCGCACCCCAA
rnacentral:snRNA from 1 species